UGAGGAAUAUUGGGUCAAUGGGCGGAAGCCUGAACCAGCCAAGUCGCGUGCGGGACGAAGGCCCUACGGGUCGCAGACCGCUUUUGCGGGGGGACAGCAGCGGGGACGAGUCCCCGCCCGAGGGUACCCCGCGAAUAAGGACCGGCUAACUCCGUGCCAGCAGCCGCGGUAAUACGGAGGGUCCGGGCGUUAUCCGGAAUCAUUGGAUUUAAAGGGUGCGCAGGCGGGCCUGCAAGCCCGCGGUGAAACCCCGGCGCUCAACGCCGGGCCUGCCGCGGGAACUGCCGGCCUUCGAGUUGCGCCGGGGGCGGCGGAACGCGGGGUGUAGCGGUGAAAUGCUUAGAUACCCCGCAGAACCCCGAUCGCGAAGGCAGCCGCCCAGGCGCCGACUGACGCUGAGGCACGAAGGCAUGGGGAUCGAACAGGAUUAGAUACCCUGGUAGU
rnacentral:rRNA from 1 species